GUAAACCAGUAAUGAAAAAAAAWUUUUCUCAGGGCA
rnacentral:tRNA from 1 species